rnacentral:rRNA from 1 species
GACGAACGCUGGCGGCGUGCUUAACACAUGCAAGUCGAACGGAAAGGCCCUGCUUUUGUGGGGUGCUCGAGUGGCGAACGGGUGAGUAACACGCGAGUAACCUGCCCUUGACUGUGGGAUAACUCCAGGAAACUGGGGCUAAUACAGGAUAGAAGAUCCUGCUGCACGGGGGGGGUUGGAAAGUUUCGGCGGUGGGGGAUGGACUCGCGGCUUAUCAGCUUGUUGGUGGGGUAGUGGCUUACCAAGGCUUUGACGGGUAGCCGGCCUGAGAGGGUGACCGGCCACAUUGGGACUGAGGUACGGCCCAGACUCCUACGGGAGGCAGCAGUGGGGAAUAUUGCACAAUGGGCGGAAGCCUGAUGCAGCAACGCCGCGUGCGGGAUGACGGCCUUCGGGUUGUAAACCGCUUUCGCCUGUGACGAAGCGUGAGUGACGGUAAUGGGUAAAGAAGCACCGGCUAACUACGUG